rnacentral:sRNA from 1 species
UAUAUAUUUUUAAUUGCCAAAGACAGUAGGUGGCAGUGACCUUAAUUUCCUACCGAGGUAUAGAUUAAAAAGAUAUCCCUUUUGUCUAUGCCGGCAAAAGGGUUUUAUUUU